UUUAAAGUCUAGUCUGCCCUCUGAUGAAUUGAAUGGCCGCAGUAUAUUGACUGUGCGAAGGUAGCAUAAUCAUUAGUUUUUUAAUUGGAAACUGGAAUGAAUGGCUGGAUGAAAAAAUAUCUGUCUCUUUUAAAUUUUUAUUGAAUUUUAUUUUUGAGUUAAAAAGCUUAAAUUUUUUAUAAAGACGAGAAGACCCUAUAGAGUUUUACAGUGUUAUUUUUAUAUCAAUUAGUUUGAUUUUGAUGUAGGAAUUAAUUUUGUUUUGUUGGGGUGAUGCAAAAAUUUGUUUAACUUUUUGUUUAUUUUUACAUUUAUGUAUGGUUAUUUGAUCCUUAUUUUUGGAUUAUGAGAAUAAAUUACCUUAGGGAUAACAGCGUAAUUUUUUUUGAGAGUUCUUAUCGAAAGAAAGGAUUGCGACCUCGAUGUUGAAUUAAAAUUUAUUUUUGGUGCAGAA
rnacentral:rRNA from 1 species